rnacentral:ncRNA from 15 species
GGCCCGUUGGUCAAGUGGUUAAGACACCGCCCUUUCACGGCGGUAACAUGGGUUCAAAUCCCGUACGGGUCA